UUGCAGUUAAAAAGCUCGUAGUCGGAUUUCAGUAUUAGGCCCUUCUUCCAAUACGGUUGCUAGUGGUCUUUACUUCCUUAACAGAAUCUUUCAUCUCAUUAAUUUGGGGUGUUUGGGGCCUGUUUCUUUUACUUUGAGAAAAUUAGAGUGUUCAAAGCGGGUUUUCGCCUGGAUAUUACUCUUGGAAUAAUAAUAUAGGACUUUGGUUCUUUUUUGUUGGUGACUUAGAACCGAAGUAAUGAUUGAUAGGGACAGUUGGGGUCAUUCGUACUAUGAAGCGAGAGGUGAAAUUCAUGGACCUUUGUAUGACGAACUACUGCGAAAGCAUUUGACUAGGAUGUUCCCGUUGAUCAAGAACGAAAGUUGGGGGAUCGAAGACGAUCAGAUACCGUCGUAGUCUCAACCAUAAACUAUGCCAACUAGAGAUUGGUGGGGUUCUCCUAUUUGGCUCCAUCAGCAUCUUAUGAGAAAUCAAAGUCUUUGGAUUCCGGGGGGGAGUAUGGUCGCAAGGCUGAAACUUAAAGGAAUUGACGGAAAGGCACCACCAGGAGUGGAGCCUGCGGCU
rnacentral:rRNA from 1 species